GCGAGUGAAGAGGGAAGAGCCCAAGAUUGAAAGCUGGCGUCUUCGGCGUCCGCAUUGUAAUCUCAAGAAGUGUUUUCCGCUUCGGACCAUGCCUAAGUCCCUUGGAAAAGGGCAUCAUAGAGGGUGAUAAUCCCGUACAUGGCAUGGAGCGCCCGAAGCUUUGUGAUACGCUUUCUAAGAGUCGAGUUGUUUGGGAAUGCAGCUCAAAAUGGGUGGUAAAUGCCAUCUAAGGCUAAAUAUUGGGGAGAGACCGAUAGCGAACAAGUACAGUGAUGGAAAGAUGAAAAGAACUUUGAAAAGAGAGUUAAACAGUACGUGAAAUUGCCAAAAGGGAAGGGUAGGAGGUCAGAGAUGCGGCCUGGGAUUCAGCCUUGCUUUUGCUUGGUGUUUUUCCCAGAUUGCAGGCCAACGUCGGUUUUGGGCACUGGAGAAGGGUAGGAGGAACGUGGCACCUCUCGGGGUGUGUUAUAGCCUCCUACUGGAUACAGCGACCGAGACCGAGGAACGCAGCGUACUCGCAAGAGCGGGCCUUCGGGCACCUUUACGCUUAGGGCGUUGGCAUAAUGGCCCUCUACCACCCGUCUUG
rnacentral:rRNA from 1 species